CAACAGCCAAAGAAAGGCCCAUGACUUUCUGGAAAAGCUUCCCUUCUAUUUUGUAAAGAGCCCUAGGACUGGGUGAAAGGUUCAGGCAUUAUGCUGGCCUGCCUCUGUUACCUGUCAGAAUCCACUCAAGCAGUACCGGGAGCUGGUCGUUCAAAGAAAGACCUGCUACAUCUGGUUCAAGGUUUCCGGUAUCUGAAGCACCAGAAACAGUGUUGCUGAGACUCUUCUAGGAUAUGCUGCUAUUGCCCAGAGUCAGAGAGAUGUUGUGCUGAUCCUGUGGCUGGGCGGGGCGUCCUGCGGCAGGAUCCUUGGGAGCUCCAGGCCAUUACAUACCUCUCCUCCCACGCACCAGCCAUCCCAGCAGCUAACCUGCUUCUCAGAGCUGCCAUGCAGUCCCGAGGGUGCUGGCAGCCCCCACCAUCCUGAAGGCUUAUCAAGACUUACAUAGCCUUCAACAGCCUUCCCUGUUCAGGAUCCAUUCGUACUGAUGUUUGUGACUUAAUGGAAUCCCUUCAUGUCUCAAAAGAAGUGACUCUUCCCUCGGGAUAAAGGGUCCGCCCUAGAAGACUAAUUAGGUUCAAUUGCUGUGAUGAAGACCAUGACCAAAAGCAACUUGGACAGGGAAAAAUGUGUUUGCCUUUCAUAUACUGGGCCAUUGAGAGAAACCAAGACAAAAGCCUAGAGACAGGAACUGAAGGAGAAGCUGCUUAAUGGCUAACUCCCCAUGGCUUGUUCAGACUGUUUUCUUGGAUCACCCAGGGCAACCUGCUCAAGGAUGGUGUCAUCUACAGUAAGCUGGACCUUCCCACAUCAGUCAUCAGUCAAGAAAAUGCCUCCAUAGACAUACACCGGGCCUGUGCAUAUUGUCAUAACCAUGACAGCUGUCCUGUUGUGUCAGGAGAACAUAGUUCCUUUGUAUUUACUUAUUGACUACCUCUUACUCUCCCAGACUUCCCUCCCCCUCUUCAGCAAUGAUCCAUGCACCUUGGGAAGAGAGGGUACAGCAUGGAUGUUUCAUUUAGGGGUGAACAUUCCACAGGCCCUAGUUCUCUGCACUUUGGCCAGUAUGUUGGUCUCUGACUGCUGUAAAUUUUUCUGAAGAGGGUUGAGAGAUACAUUAAUCUGUGUCUCCUGUCAUGUGGGCAGUAGAGCUGUUUGUUUCUGAGACAAGGUUAGAGAGGUGAAAUGGUACCAAAUAGAUGACAUUUGAACAAUAAUCAAAAAGAAGGAAGGGAAUGAACUAUUCUCAGCCUGCUCUGUAUGAUUCCAGUUAGUGGGUUAUGUUAGUAAGAAGAGUCAUGGGCUCGUGACAAUUGUGAAACUAUCCUAGUGUUACACUGAGUGAGGUUCUAGGUUCUGUAAAAUAUGAAUAUCUUGACUAAUACUGUCUAUGCAGGGCCAGGGAUGUAGAUGUAUGUAAUAGAACAAGUUUGUAAAACAAGUCAUUUCAUUUAUUUUCCUUUAUGAAUUUUAUUUUAUGUGAUGGGACAGAACAAAUUCCAGCCUGGAAAGGGAGGUGAGCUUUAAGGCCCAUCUGCAGCCCAGGAGCUCAGGGCAACUGAUAGCCACAGGAAGGAGGGAAGUCACCCUUCUUUCAGAGUGUUACCACUGGUAUGUCACCUGCACUCCAGUGGAAGGCCACAUAUCCAAGAAUAUAUGGAUGAUGCAAAUUGGACUCUGUGUGUUCUUUUUGUUUUGUUUUUAAGAGGACACAAAGUUGGGUAGGUAGGGAAGAGGAGUUGGUUCUGGG
rnacentral:lncRNA from 1 species